rnacentral:rRNA from 1 species
AGAGUUUGAUCCUGGCUCAGAUUGAACGCUGGCGGAAUGCUUUACACAUGCAAGUCGAACGGCAGCACGGGGGCAACCCUGGUGGCGAGUGGCGAACGGGUGAGUAAUACAUCGGAACGUGCCCAGUCGUGGGGGAUAACUACGCGAAAGCGUAGCUAAUACCGCAUACGAUCUACGGAUGAAAGCGGGGGAUCGCAAGACCUCGCGCGAUUGGAGCGGCCGAUGGCAGAUUAGGUAGUUGGUGGGGUAAAGGCUCACCAAGCCUGCGAUCUGUAGCUGGUCUGAGAGGACGACCAGCCACACUGGAACUGAGACACGGUCCAGACUCCUACGGGAGGCAGCAGUGGGGAAUUUUGCGCAAUGGACGAAAGUCUGACGCAGCAACGCCGCGUGGGUGAUGAAGGUCUUCGGACUGUAAAACCCUGUCGUCAGGGACGAAGGUGGCAGUGUUAAUAGCGCUGUUACUUGACGGUACCUGGAGAGGAAGCCCCGGCUAACUCUGUGCCAGCAGCCGCGGUAAUACAGAGGGGGCAAGCGUUAUUCGGAAUUAUUGGGCGUAAAGGGCGCGUAGGCGGUUUGUUAAGUCAGAUGUGUAAUCCCCGAGCUCAACUUGGGAACUGCAUCUGAGACUGGCAGGCUAGAGUACUGGAGAGGGUGGUGGAAUUCCUCGUGUAGCGGUGAAAUGCGUAGAGAUGAGGAGGAACACCAGUGGCGAAGGCGGCCACCUGGACAGUAACUGACGCUGAGGCGCGAAAGUGUGGGUAGCAAACAGGAUUAGAUACCCUGGUAGUCC